rnacentral:rRNA from 1 species
ACGAACGCUGGCGGCGUGCUUAACACCUGCAAGUCGAACGGAAAGGCCCUGCUUUUGUGGGGUGCUCGAGUGGCGAACGGGUGAGUAACACGUGAGUAACCAGCCCUUGACUUUGGGAUAACUUCAGGAAACUGGGGCUAAUACCGGAUAGGAGCUCCUGCUGCAUGGUGGGGGUUGGAAAGUUUCGGCGGUUGGGGAUGGACUCGCGGCUUAUCAGCUUGUUGGUGGGGUAGUGGCUUACCAAGGCUUUGACGGGUAGCCGGCCUGAGAGGGUGACCGGCCACAUUGGGACUGAGAUACGGCCCAGACUCCUACGGGAGGCAGCAGUGGGGAAUAUUGCACAAUGGGCGGAAGCCUGAUGCAGCAACGCCGCGUGCGGGAUGACGGCCUUCGGGUUGUAAACCGCUUUCGCCUGUGACGAAGCGUGAGUGACGGUAAUGGGUAAAGAAGCACCGGCUAACUACGUG